GUCAGAAGGAGAACCAUCUGCUUUCCCACUGCAAUGGACUGUGAGUAAUGGAAACCGGGGAAAGUGAAACCUCAAAAAAGGGAGGACUACGAUUCUUCGGGAAAUGAACACUGAAAGCAGAUAUUGAAGACUCCCCGAUGAGACUCACAUUUGGAAUUAAAAUGAUCAGUCUGCUGCAGAUGCAGAUAUCCAUAAACAUUUGACAUUUUAAAAAAGUAAAUACAAUUACAUUA